rnacentral:rRNA from 1 species
CAACUCGGCUGCAUGAAGCUGGAAUCGCUAGUAAUCGCGGAUCAGAAUGCCGCGGUGAAUACGUUCCCGGGUCUUGUACACACCGCCCGUCACACCAUGGGAGUCGGGAAUGCCCGAAGUCAGUGACCCAACCGAAAGGGGGGAGCUGCCGAAGGCAGGCCUGGUAACUGGGGUGAAGUCGUAACAAGGUAUC